GUGGUGAUGACGAUUCUUCUACAAAAAUCAAAGAUGAAGAAGAAUUUGAUUCAAGAGAAUAUGGUGACCUCAACUCUUCACCUACAGGAGACGUUCAAAGGAUCGAAUCUAACAAAAGAGGGA